AGCAGCCGCGGUAAUUCCAGCUCCAAUAGCGUAUAUUAAAGUUGUUGCAGUUAAAAAGCUCGUAGUUGAAUUUCGGGAUCAAUACGUCGGUCGUGCUUAGGUACGUACUGGCGUAAUUGAUUUCUCCCUUCUGACGAACCAUGAUGUCAUUAACUUGGUGUCAUGGGAAAUCAGGACUGUUACUUUGAAAAAAAUUAGAGUGUUUAAAGCAGGCUCACGCUUGAAUACAUUAGCAUGGAAUAAUGAAAUAGGACGUUCGAUCCUAUUUUGUUGGUUUUAGGAUCAACGUAAUGAUUAAUAGGGAUAGUUGGGGGCAUUAGUAUUCAAUUGUCAGAGGUGAAAUUCUUGGAUUUAUUGAAGACUAACUACUGCGAAAGCAUUUGCCAAAGAUGUUUUCAUUAAUCAAGAACGAAAGUUAGGGGAUCGAAGACGAUCAGAUACCGUCGUAGUCUUAACCAUAAACUAUGACCGACGUAGGGAUCGGAUGAUGUUAAUUUUUAUGUACUCUAUUCGG
rnacentral:rRNA from 1 species